rnacentral:lncRNA from 1 species
AUGUUUUUAUCUUGAAUUCCUUUAACAUGUGUGGUUGUUCUCCUAAACAAAAAUUCAUUAUAUGAUAUCUUCAAAGCACACAUUUAUUCCCAUAUUUAUGGUUCCUGUUGUGUGGUUGGGUGAAGCUGAUUAAAAUGACAUAGUAAUAAAAUGUCCAAAAGGGAGUAAAUGGCAGUGUCAAGAAUGAGCUAAUUGGUUCCAAAAAAACAGCACAUUUUCAUGUAUCAUUUCUUGCCUCACUACUUACAUUACAAUUAAUUAUACCAUAUAGCAAAAUUAAAAAGGAAAAUAAAUGUAAGAAUUCAUCAAAAAAUAAAUAAAUUAGGAAUAAAAAAACAAACAUUGCUUAUUUAAGAAAGACAAGAAAGAAAGUAACAAAAGAACCAUAACCCAAAAUCAUGUAAGUUACAUCUGAAUUAAAUUUACUGUUGGUCCCCCCUUCUUAAAACUCAUCAGUGUUUCAUUUUUACUUGAACUUAUCAAUGUGGGCCUUAUAUCAAAUUCAUUAAAUCAAAUUCUAUUCACAUCUUAUUUGAAUAUGUACCAGUACAUCUGUUGAGGUGGACAAUUCUGAUAGAUUAACAAAUAGUGUAUAAUAAUUUUCUUAUAUUAAACACUAUUUUUAGACCUAUCUAAAUUAUCCACUUCAACGAAGCACUGAUACACGUUCAGAUAAGAUGUGUAGUUAUUUUUUUCUUUCUGAAUUCCAAUGUAUACUCUAGACUGCAUUGAGGAAAGCUAGAAUGAACGAACCUGAUUUCUUGAUAGCCCAGUUUGUCGUGCCAAUAGAUGCUUAUCUGCAUCACUUGGAUACCUGAGAAAAAGACCAGAAGAAAAUGACAUCAGUGUCCUUCCCUUAACCGUAUAAAGACAAACAUACAUACAUACAUGAAAGCUUUCUGUACCCUUUAACUCUGUUUCAAACAUUUCUUUUUUACCUUUCAUGGGCGUGAGAAUCUAAAACAAAC